rnacentral:rRNA from 1 species
CCUACGGGAGGCAGCAGUGAGGAAUAUUGGUCAAUGGACGAGAGUCUGAACCAGCCAAGUAGCGUGAAGGAUGACUGCCCUAUGGGUUGUAAACUUCUUUUAUAAAGGAAUAAAACGAGGCACGUGUGCCUUUUUGCAUGUACUUUAUGAAUAAGGAUCGGCUAACUCCGUGCCAGCAGCCGCGGUAAUACGGAGGAUCCGAGCGUUAUCCGGAUUUAUUGGGUUUAAAGGGAGCGUAGAUGGGUUGUUAAGUCAGUUGUGAAAGUUUGCGGCUCAACCGUAAAAUUGCAAUUGAUACUGGCAGUCUUGAGUACAGUUGAGGUAGGCGGAAUUCGGGGCGUAGCGGUGAAAUGCUUAGAUAUCACGAAGAACCCCGAUUGCGAAGGCAGCUUGCUAAACUGUGACUGACAUUGAUGCUCGAAAGUGUGGGUAUCAAACAGGAUUAGAUACCCCGGUAGUC